GGUGGUAAUGCCGGAUGCUCCGACUCCUCGCAUGGGGUGUCGGGAAAGAUUUCAUCGGUAUGGGAUGGGGUCGCGUCCUAUCAGGUAGUCGGCGGGGUAACGGCCCACCGAGCCUACGACGGGUAGCCGGCCUGAGAGGGCGACCGGCCACAUUGGGACUGAGAUACGGCCCAGACUCCUACGGGAGGCAGCAGUGGGGAAUAUUGCACAAUGGGCGCAAGCCUGAUGCAGCGACGCCGCGUGCGGGAUGACGGCCUUCGGGUUGUAAACCGCUUUUGAUCGGGAGCAAGCCUUCGGGUGAGUGUACCUUUCGAAUAAGCACCGGCUAACUACGUGCCAGCAGCCGCGGUAAUACGUAGGGUGCAAGCGUUAUCCGGAAUUAUUGGGCGUAAAGGGCUCGUAGGCGGUUCGUCGCGUCCGGUGUGAAAGUCCAUCGCUUAACGGUGGAUCUGCGCCGGGUACGGGCGGGCUGGAGUGCGGUAGGGGAGACUGGAAUUCCCGGUGUAACGGUGGAAUGUGUAGAUAUCGGGAAGAACACCA
rnacentral:rRNA from 2 species